AGCAGCCGCGGUAAUUCCAGCUCCAAUAGCGUAUAUUAAAGUUGUUGCAGUUAAAAAGCUCGUAGUUGAAUUUCGGGAUUGACACAUCGGUCGUGCCUUAAGGGGUAUGAACUGGUGUAGUCAAUUUCUCACCUUCUGGAGAACCGCGAUGCCCUUAAUUGGGUGUCACGGGGAACCAGGACCUUUACUUUGAAAAAAUUAGAGUGUUUAAAGCAGGCAUUUUGCUUGAAUACAUUAGCAUGGAAUAAUAAAAUAGGACGGCAUGAUUCUAUUUUGUUGGUUUCUAGGAUCACCGUAAUGAUUAAUAGGGAUAGUUGGGGGCAUUAGUAUUCAAUUGUCAGAGGUGAAAUUCUUGGAUUUAUUGAAGACUAACUACUGCGAAAGCAUUUGCCAAGGAUGUUUUCAUUAAUCAAGAACGAAAGUUAGGGGAUCGAAGACGAUCAGAUACCGUCGUAGUCUUAACCAUAAACUAUGCCGACUAGGAAUCAGACGAUGUUAAUUUUUAAUGACUCGUUUGGCA
rnacentral:rRNA from 1 species